CAUCUCCCAUUACUUCUGUGAUUUGGGAAAUCAGACUCGUCUUAAACUUUGGGGUGUCCUUCGAUUUAUUCAUAGAUCAAGACUUACACAUGCAGCUACAACAAUUCGCUUUCCAUUUUAAGGAAAUCAAUGGUGGGUCAUGCAUGCAUGGGAGGUGGGCCAAAUGUCGUUGUGCACUCUUGUAACACAUCACGAGACAAUUUGCACUGUCUCCUACAUGUUGUGACCAACCUGACGUGUUAAUUAGGAUAGUAUGAUCAAACUAAUCCAAUGAUUGUGUGAGAGUUCUUACACGUAUGGAUUUUCCUUUUUUAGCUUAGUGUACUGUUCAUUUUUGGGAGGAAAUGUGUUUAUCUCGUUUUAAUGACAUGUUACCUCACC
rnacentral:lncRNA from 1 species